rnacentral:rRNA from 1 species
UUGAACGCUGGCGGCAUGCCUUACACCUGCAAGUCGAACGGCAGCACGGGUGCUUGCCCCUGGUGGCGAGUGGCGAACGGGUGAGUAAUACAUCGGAACAUGUCCUGUAGUGGGGGAUAGCCCGGCGAAAGCCGGAUUAAUACCGCAUACGAUCUACGGAUGAAAGCGGGGGACCUUCGGGCCUCGCGCUAUAGGGUUGGCCGAUGGCUGAUUAGCUAGUUGGUGGGGUAAAGGCCUACCAAGGCGACGAUCAGUAGCUGGUCUGAGAGGACGACCAGCCACACUGGGACUGAGACACGGCCCAGACUCCUACGGGAGGCAGCAGUGGGGAAUUUUGGACAAUGGGCGAAAGCCUGAUCCAGCAAUGCCGCGUGUGUGAAGAAGGCCUUCGGGUUGUAAAGCACUUUUGUCCGGAAAGAAAUCCUUGGCCCUAAUACGGUCGGGGGAUGACGGUACCGGAAGAAUAAGCACCGGCUAACUACGUG